rnacentral:rRNA from 1 species
AUUGAACGCUGGCGGCAUGCCUUACACAUGCAAGUCGAACGGUAACAGGUCUUCGGAUGCUGACGAGUGGCGAACGGGUGAGUAAUACAUCGGAACGUGCCUAGUAGUGGGGGAUAACUACUCGAAAGAGUGGCUAAUACCGCAUGAGAUCUACGGAUGAAAGCAGGGGAUCGCAAGACCUUGUGCUACUAGAGCGGCCGAUGGCAGAUUAGGUAGUUGGUGGGAAAAAAGCUUACCAAGCCGACGAUCUGUAGCUGGUCUGAGAGGACGAUCAGCCACACGGGGGCUGCGACACAGCACAGACUCAUCCGGGAGGCAGCAGUGGGGAAUGUUGGACAAUGGGAGCAAGCCUGAUCCCGCAAUGCCGCGUACAGGAUGAAGGUCUUCGGGUUGUAAACUGCUUUUGUACGGAACGAAAAGCCCUGGGUUAAUACCCUGGGGUCAUGACGGUACCGUAAGAAUAAGCACCGGCUAACUACGUGCCAGCCGCCGCCGUAA